GGCGCUAUAGCCAAGUGGUUACGGCGACAGAUUAGAACCAGCUCAGCUUGUUGAGUGGAAUCGAUCUGUUCUUCUUUGAAGGCGCAGGUUCGAGUCCUGCUGGCGUCG